UGCUUCUUCGUGACUUGAACAGCUUUUCUGUUUUUAAAAUGAAAUGAUCAAUGUCAGAUAAUUAGUUCAUGUCCGUCUGGUUUCAAAACUUGAUGAUCCAAAGCAUGCAGGUGUGACUGAAAAGCAAAAAUAGAAGGAAUCUGCAGGAAGGCAGAGGUUGGGAGGGAUAAAUACUUUUUCACAGCACUGUAUCUAGAGAUCUAUAGCUAGAUCUAGAUUUGAUAGAUCUAAAUUUUCUUCAUGCAAAUGUAACUUUGCAUGACAAAACAGCUGCAAAUUAGUGUAUAAAUGGGCCGAUUUGAACUGAUUUUUUUUUUUUUUCUUGUCCUUUGACUCGAUUUUUGGACAACAAGACAAAAAGUUUGGACACCCCUGGUUUACAUCUAAGAUACGGAACAUUUUGCCAUGAAUAAGAUGUGUGUUGAAUAAGAAGUUAUGCUAUUAAAAUUUUACUCUGAAUCUGACUGUAUGGGAUUGUUCCUGUAAUUGGAAAUGAAUUGGAGCCGUUUGCCAUUAAAAAUGUGCAGAGAUGAUUUUGGAAGAGUCUAAAUGAGGAUCUGACUGACAUGCUUCACUAUUCAUUUCAUUUAGCUUUCACAGUGGAAACAAACUGUUAUGUAAUAAAAAUAUAUUUAUGACAAAAACACCACUUACACAUAAGAAUCAAAUAUGUGGCUCCUAUUUGCACCUCUAAUUUGGUUACAAAACCAUUUUAACAGUCUAAAAAUAUCCUAGCCUUAGAAUGGACUUCAUUCUCAGCACCCUCGUUAUCCACAUUUAAAACUUUGACCUUUCCAUACUUGUAAAACAGCGAACCCAGUGCUCCAAACUGUGCUUUGCUGCAUGUUGUCUCGUUAUUAUCCCCAUGCCUCGGCCAGAAUGGAGGAGUUGUCAUUGGGAAAGGUUUUAACCUUCAUUUGGCGCUCCAAGGAUAGAGGUCCGUUAGACUGGGUGUUGUCUCUGUGCGUGUGUGGGCGUGGGUGGGUGUGCAUGUGUGGGGGGUGUUUCUUGGUGUUGGAAAGGAGAGGGUAAGAUGCAGGUGUGAACCUCUCAUUAUCGAGUGGCAUGUGUCCUGUCACUCAUUCACUGUUGCUGGCCAUGUUCACAUCUGCGCUCGUUCACAUUACUCAUCCUCUGUUUGCCCCACCUGACCUCCCUCUCUGACACAUAUUCACACACACACACACACACCCCCACACACACACACCCGCCCGCGCACCCCCCCACACACGUGAGUGUGCAGCUGAGAAUACAGGCAGAAUCGGCCUCUAUCACUACAAUAUUUAUGUGCCUUUUGUUCCUGUGCAUUCAUCUUAGAAAAAGGGAAAUGGUUUAACAGAAUACAGCUUUUGCAUAAUUCACUGCUCUUUUCUGCUCAUGUUAUAGCUAUAGCUGUCCUGACGGCUAUAGUUAUCUGCAAUAUGAUGCGUAUUAAUAUAAUCAGUAGUUCAAUUCCAAAAAUAAAUGAGAUAUUUAAGGUUUUCUGUUUAUUUUGGUGAUUGUGGCCAGUUAAUGAAAAUCCGAGAUUCAGUUUCACAGAAAUAUUUUGACAUUGCACAUUUCAACCUACUGAAAAAUAUGUCGGUGCACUUUACAGUGCAGCAUAGUGACACAAUAUGGGCAGAUCGAUCCAAAGUAUAAAUCAUAUCAAUACCAAGUCGGUAUCAGUAUUGGAUCAAUACUGAUAAGGUUGUUACUUUCCAACAUGAGAUUUUAUGCUUGCAUUGUAGCUUCUCAGAUAAGAUUGGGUUUUGAUUUGCCAGCAAAACUUUUUUUUUCCCCACUAUAUUUUAGAAAAAUUUACACAAAUCGUGUUAGAGUGGUAUUCAAAGUUUUUUGUAGAUGCCUAUAAAGUUUGUCCAAAUUCUGUCCUGGGUUUGAACAAAAUAAUUCACAGGAAAAAAAAACACCUAUAUGUCAGAAGUUUGAUGAUGUAACAAAGCUUCAAUAAAAAGUAUCGUAUCAGUUUCAGAAUCGGUAUCUGCAAUAAGAGCCUUAUUUACUUGGAUCGUUACUAAAAUACACAGUAUCACACACCUCUACUUUGCCUAACAACCCUUUUGGGGCUUCAGUUAUCCCUGAUGCAUAUGCUCAUUUUGAUAUGAUUUUUUCCUUCCACUCAACUUUCUAUUAAUAUGCGUGGAUACGGCCAGCUGUUAUAACUAAUGACCUUUUGUGGCUUAUCCAUUAAGAGGAUUGUACCCAUAACCAUGAAAUCAGCAGUUUAUUCAAUGAGUCUGUAGGCCAAUGCAUAUCAUUUCUGUAGGAAGAACACUUUCUUUUAGUUUUGUAUCAUCAAAUUUUCAGAAAAAAAAUCAUUUGAGAGCUGACAACAGGGAAAUGACGCAGGACCCAACAGAACAAUUCUUUCCUUCAAUUAUAAAAAUUCCAAGGAGCCAAAAGUCGUGGAUGCAGAAAUCAACAGGGAUCACGUUUUUAUUCCAGUGGUGUACACUGGGAAUCCUCCUCUCUGUGUACUUACGUUGUGGAUUUAGGGGAAGGAAAAGUGGGUGUUUGUGUGCGGUGCGGUGGCGGUGGGGGCUCUUCGCACUGGGCUGAGCUGUGUGCAUCAUUUCAUGGGUGACAGAAAUUGGAGAGUCCCCAGAGGAUAACUCCUUCUGCUCUGGAAAGCCAGCGGAUGGAAAGACUUUGGGGACUCGGAGAGUUAAAGAAAUGGAGUGAGAGAAGAGGGUCCUGCCAUCACACGGGAUGGAUCAAACCACAGCUGGGUGGUUUCAUUCGUCCCUCGCCUCCCACUCUUCACAUCCGACCCUUCGUCUCGUUCAAGCGCCUCCCUCCAUGUCUCGCUGCUUUCUGUCAGAAAACGUGUGGAACACAGAGGACCGCAGCGUUUUCCCAGAGUCCUGCCUGCUGAUCAUGUCUCGUCAACACUGCAUGACUUCAGCACUUAGAAACGCUAAUAAAAUACGUCUCACAUCUAAAUCUUUGAAGUAUAGAGUGAAUCAACAAAUAUAAACACUUCUUGCUCCGCUAAAACGUUAUAAUUAGAGAGAACCUCCUUUAUGUUGGCUCAGAUCCAGAUUCAGAAAACGAUAGUCAUUACAUAACCAUGCUGUUGGGAUUUGAAUAUAGAAAUCUGAUCUUGUGUUGAUGGACAGUGUUCAAUAAAAUUAUCUUUUUCUAAAGGUGACUUAAACAGUUUUCCUGUCGCGCUUCAAAUCAAAGCUAAUCGUAGCAUGCUAACGACCUAACCAUGCUAGUUUACUAACACGUUAAUAUUUGGCAUUAGGAAGACACUAAAGAUGGGAAGUUUAUCUAUAUAAAUAACAAAUGAAGACCUCUACUUGGGCAGCUCCAUCUGUUUGCAUUGAGCAAAUCACAAAAUCAAUCAGCUCAAAAUGAGAAAAGUUAAACUUUUCCAUAAUUUACUCUGAAAAUACUGAAAAAUCUGAUAAUCUUUUUCUUCCUAUUGCUUCUUUUUAUUUUCCACUUCUUGAAAAUAACCCAUUCUUUGAUAUAUCAACUUAUAAUUUCAACAUUUUCCGUUUAAAUCAAUACUUCAACGCAUUUUUCUCUGUUAUGCGUUGUAGUACUUGGAAUACAAAUCGGGAGCCUAUCAAAGUUGGCGUUACAGGUCAGAACCAAUAAAGAAGCAGGAAAAGGCAGCAGCAUCGAGAGGAUCGUCGACUGUCAGGUGGAUUAAAAUGAAUCUGACGGGAAAAUUAUUACAACCAUCUGCUCAUAAAAGCGACUACAGCCAAACCGAACUGGAUUAUGCUGCGUCAUACAAUAUUUGUAUUAUAUGUCAUUCAACAGGGUUUCUGCAGGUUUCACCAAUUCAAAUUUAAAACCAGUAUCGUGUCAGAAACGUAUAAGACCAACAACCUUAACGAAUGUAGCAACGCAUGGGUUGUCAGGUGAUACAAUGGCAAAGACAAACAUUGUCUAGAAUAAAUAUAGAAUAAAACCAUAAUAGAUGCAAAAACGUGAGCCUGCUAGCUAGUUUUUCUCCUCCCUCCAUUUCCACUGCAAGAACCAGAACCAAUGUCUCUUGCUAAUAUACCUUUGCUAGCAUGUUAGUGCUAUAUUAGCAGCUAGUUGCCACUAGCUUCAACCACCUCGAGUCACAUAAACAUGACUCAAACGUUUGCCUGACAGAAAAAUCCAACAAGAAAAAAAUAAAUAAAUAAAAGACUACAUAAAUGAGAUUAAAUAGCCUGGCCACCAGAACAUGUAAGACCUGUGAUUAACUUACUUUUUCAAAAAAAAAAAAAAAAAAAAUGAAGACAUUUUUAGAUCUACAGUACAUCACAAAUCUAAGUCUUUUUAAGGAGGUGCGAACACCUUAUUUUUUCCAGCGCAUGUAUAACUCUUUUUGGUUUCAGACUUUUUGAAGCUGCAUUCAUUGGAUAUCAGUGUGUUCAUUCCAAACUGUAAGUACAGGAGACCUAACUCAAGGCCAGAAAACUCCACAUGACCACCAGCCUAUGGCUAUAUUUCAAUCAGCACCGUUACCCCCACCUCCUACGCUUCCUGCUCCAUGUUCUCCUAUUUUUUUUCCAUGCAGAGAAGGCGGAGGGCGGAGAGAGAGAGAGAGAUCAGACCACACAUACAGAUCCAGGCCUCCACCCCCAGCCUCCAGUUCCCCCGCCAUCUGUGCACGUCCCUCUGCCUGCAACUCCACAACAACAAGGCCCUGAACCUCUGCCGAGGAGUCAAUCCAUCACCGGAGAGAGGGAGAGCGGGAGACGGAGAGAGGAAAGAUCACCGUGGCGACCAUCAAGAGAAGAGGUUUGAUGUUUACCUCUCAUCUGUCCAUGAAGUAAAAAAAAAAAAGAAAAAAAAGUGCAUAUAAAUAAUCUGCAUGCAAGAAGAGCCAAAUGCGCACAUGUGGAUUCUGCAGAAACAAUUAUGGAGACUCUUCACGGAGCGUCGUUUUCCUCAAAAUCACAUUUGACUUUGUGCUUUGAAAGGUUUCAUUACGAUUGUAAGUAAUUGAGUUGUUCUCUUUUGAGAUAAAGCUGGGGCCAAUUUCACACGAAUCAAAAUAAAAAGAAUGUUCACUUGCAUCCUUUUUGAACAUACAUCAGGUUAUUUUUGGGGUUCAGUCGGUAUUUACAACAUGCUGAUGUUAUUUUUGUUAAUAACUCAUGAGUUGUUGUUUUUUCCCCUCGUUAUUUUUGAACAUAUCCCUCUGGUAGGACAACCACAACUCCCUGGAAGGAGUACAUAUCACUUCAGAUUUUUGCAAUGCCGUAGGAUUCACUGGAAAUUGUUCUUCCAGUGAGAUGAAUGUGUGGGUUUCCCUUCCAGACCUGUUGCCUCCACUCAUAUGAACGGACAAAAAUAGAUGAGAGGAAGAACUCCUACCUCUUACUUCAUUUGCUCCUGCAAUAUUACUGUAUUAUACAAGGAGAGAAAGUUUUUGGUGCCCAUCAUAAAGUAGUGACUACUAUUGUUUCCAAAAAAUGCAUCAUGGUCUUGUAUCUUGCAAGUGUUUUUAUUUCUAAAUUUCUUUUUUUAUCAGCACAAAAUGUAAAGAAAUUAUUGUAUCCUUUACACCUGAUAUGACUGCACUAAUCAUUAGGAGGAUGUGAAAAUGAGCUGGUUAACAAAUAGAAUCUGAUGCCUUGUUGCACACAUGUAAUUCCAAACAUUAGUUACAUAAACUUAUUUAGACUGAAUUUACUUUUAGAUAACUGAUGUGUUAGUGCCGUGAGAAGCUUAAGGCAAGGACGACAUGUUGUGGUCAUAGUGUGCUGCCAGGCAAAUCCAAAAAGCGGUCUUUAAUUUCUGUUGCUUGACUUGUGCGGCUUUACUGAGGUUUGUUGUCCCAUAAACCUACCGUCAGAUCUUCAACAACAAAAUUUCCCCAAACCUCCAAGCACGAGCUUGGCACGAGCUUGGAGGUUUGGGCACGAGCAAUUGUUACAAACAGAUUGGCGUUAUAUAAUUUAGAAAUGAACUGAGAAAUUAUUUGUUGACAGUCAUCAGCUAAUUUCUAACUUCCUUGGUCUGGAAAGGUGACCUGUUGGACAGAAACUGGAAAUUUCUACCUUUUUUUCCCCACUAACACCAUAUAUUAGUGUGACCGAGUUACACCAAUGACGCUCUUCAGUGUGGAUGCCGUCACUGAGUGACGGAGACGCAAUGUCACCCGUUUUCAGUAUCAGCGUGCUGUUUAAAAGUCAAAUCAGAGGAAGGAGAGCGAUAUGUCUGAAGUUCAUUGCUGUAGCAAGAGACCAUGGGUCGGAUCUACAAAGAUUCCAAAUAAGAACCGGUAUAUUUCAUGCAUGAAGAACAAAAGAAAGCGUUAUAAUCAGUCUACUAGGAUCGGCUGUGUAAAUGAUUGCAGGAGCAACUAGUGGUGCAGACCGUCCUGUUUCAACGAGGCCGUCAUCUUGUAGCGUGUCGGAGAGCAGAGCUGAAAAGAAAAGAAAAACUAGAAUGCUAUUGUGCUGGAAUUAUAAUAAUGAUAACUGUAAGAAUACAAUUCACAUCCAAUGUGGUUCAACAAUAAGAGUAUUUCACGGUCAAUAAAAAUAAAGCUCUAAACCGCCAUAUUUAACUCUGUGCACUGUCUUAGGUUUAACGUGGUGUGGUUGUGUUUUUGGGGGGGACUUGUACCUUUAUUUGAUUUUGGUUUAAUUGCAUAAAUACUGUCAGCAGUCCACCGACAUUAGUCUGACCCAAGCCGAACAUGAAGCAGAUAAAAUAUAACCUGCAUUAAAUAGACCAACUAGACACACUUUAGCAGAGCAGUAAAACAUAACGGCGUGUUGCCACGACAUGAUGGUGCGCUGGAGUUAUUCAAUAAUCCCGCGUUGCUGGAUGAUAUUUCUAAUGGGUUUUUUUUAUUUUUAUGAUUUCUUAUUUGAUAUAGUUUGUGUGUUCCAAAUAUUUGACAAACAAUGGCACGCCAUUGUUUCUACGCCAGCUGUGGUCGCCACAGUGACCGCAGGCGACAUUGCAUUCAGCUUACACCUACGAUUCAAAAAUGUUGAAUAUAAGGCGCUAAAGCAAAUCUAGCAAUCUGGUUCAGGUUUAAUAAUGACAGUUUUAUAUAUUGUCAUUAUAUUUACAUAUCCCCCUCCCAGUAUUUUGCGCUUCCUGAUGAUCAGCGUAUGUUUGCACGUUGUUUGUAGAUCAGGUUUGCGCAUCAUACCGAACAAACCUUUAGUAGAUCAGGCCCUGAGACUUUCAGCAAACACCUGGAAGGCAGAACAGAGAUCAGGAAAGUUGCUCCGUUUUAUCUGCUUAAGUUUUACGUCUGUUAUGGAACUUGCUUGAUUUGGAAAUGUUGCCAGCCUUUAAGAAGUCCAAAAGCACAUUCUCAACAUAAAACACUCAAAGAGUGUGUUUUUAUCGACGCGCCGGUUUUUAUUGACGCACUAAGAGCUAACACGAGAUACUAAAAACGCUUUAAAGUUUCAUGUCUGUAAUAAUUUUGCCUUUGUCUUCAGAAAUAUCAGUAAAGCCGGUUUUAAAGUGACUGCUUUCCUCAAGCGUGGCCUGGCAUUGCCUCCGGCCCCACCUUAAACAGGAGUUGUAGCCGUCACAGCAGGAGGGCUGCAAGAAUAUUUGGAAUGCUGUUCUGUAUCUUAAAAAGAAAAAAAAAAAAAAACAGGCACUAAACAGCCAUCAAAUUCAAGUACCGAGGUUUAUGAUAUGUUAAAACAACAUGAAAAGAGCUCUUUGUGUAUUUGGCCAAUUACAGAGUAUUGAUUAUUAAAAGCUUCACUUUUUGUGCUGCUCUGCUUUGCUUCAGUCAUUGUUGAAAUGAUCGCUGAUCAGACCAGAUUAUAAUUUGAAGAUAUAAAUUUGCACAGCUUUAUUGAUGAGUCCUUGGUGAGCAUUUCAAUUGAAGUACACCAGAGACGUCCAAACCUUUUGUCCCGUCGGCCAAAAUCGUCACGUGGGAAGUGCUGGAGAGCCACAAAAAUGAGAUCUAAAAAAAACUUUUUUGGUCUAUUAUUAACAACAAUAACAGGAUUUGAAAAUG